AGAGUUUGAUCCUGGCUCAGAACGAACGCUGGCGGCGUGCCUAACACAUGCAAGUCGAACGAGAAAGUUUCCUUCGGGGAAUUAGUAAAGUGGCGCAAGGGUGAGUAACACGUGAAUAAUCUGCCUACGAAUUCGGGAUAACCUGAUGAAAAUUAUGCUAAUACCGAAUAAGACCCCACCCCUUAUGAGGCGUGGUCAAAGGAGUCUCAAUCUCCGUUCGUAGAUGAGUUCGCGGACCAUUAGCUUGUUGGUGGGAUAACAGCCCACCAAGGCGAUGAUGGUUAGCCGGCCUGAGAGGGUGAUCGGCCACACUGGAACUGAGACACGGUCCAGACUCCUACGGGAGGCAGCAGUGGGGAAUAUNNUGCGCAAUGGGCGAAAGCCUGACGCAGCAACGCCGCGUGAGGGAUGAAGGCUCUUGAGUCGUAAACCUCUGUCAGAUGGGAAGAAUUUUGACGGUACCAUCAGAGGAAGCCCCGGCUAACUCCGUGCCAGCAGCCGCGGUAAUACGGAGGGGGCGAGCGUUGUUCGGAAUUAUUGGGCGUAAAGAGUAUGUAGGCGGCUGGAUAAGUCAGGCGUGCAAGCCCACGGCUUAACCGUGGAAUUGCGUCUGAAACUAUUCGGCUUGAGUACAGGAGAGGAAAGCGGAAUUCCCAGUGUAGCGGUGAAAUGCAUUGAUAUUGGGAAGAACACCAGUGGCGAAGGCGGCUUUCUGGUCUGUUACUGACGCUGAGAUACGAAAGCCAGGGGAGCAAAGGGGAUUAGAUACCCCCGUAGUCCUGGCCGUAAACGAUGGGCACUAGAUGCAGGAGGUAUCGAUCCCUUCUGUGUCGCAGCUAACGCAUUAAGUGCCCCGCCUGGGGAGUACGGUCG
rnacentral:rRNA from 1 species